CGAAUGGGUCUGAAGACUCUUAAAACCUACCGUGCUCCCCUACGUGGAAAACAGGAAAGCCCUCCGGGGCAUAGGAAAUCUGAGAAGUUGAGAACUGCGCCCCGGCGCAUGACUAAAACAAAAAAUUACG
rnacentral:misc_RNA from 1 species